GACGAACGCUGGCGGCGUGCUUAACACAUGCAAGUCGAGCGGAAAGGCCCUUUCGGGGGUACUCGAGCGGCGAACGGGUGAGUAACACGUGAGUAAUCUGCCCUUGGCUUUGGGAUAGCCACCGGAAACGGUGAUUAAUACCGGAUACGACAACUCCACGCAUGUGGUGGUUGUGGAAAGUUUUUCGGCCAGGGAUGUGCUCGCGGCCUAUCAGCUUGUUGGUGGGGUAAUGGCCUACCAAGGCUUCGACGGGUAGCCGGCCUGAGAGGGUGACCGGCCACACUGGGACUGAGACACGGCCCAGACUCCUACGGGAGGCAGCAGUGGGGAAUAUUGGACAAUGGGCGGAAGCCUGAUCCAGCAACGCCGCGUGAGGGAUGACGGCCUUCGGGUUGUAAACCUCUUUCAGUACCGACGAAGCGAGAGUGACGGUAGGUACAGAAGAAGCACCGGCCAACUACGUGCCAGCCGCCGCUGUAACAC
rnacentral:rRNA from 1 species